AAUUAUUCUGCAAUUCAAAAAUUGAAGCCGUGAUUGCAGGCUCAGGGUAUUCCCAUGACAUUUCAUGGGAAUACCCUGAGCCUGCAAUCACGGCUUCAAUUUUUGAAUUGCAGAAUAAU